UACGAAGGGGGCUAGCGUUGCUCGGAAUUACUGGGCGUAAAGCGCACGUAGGCGGUCUUUUAAGUCGGGGGUGAAAUCCUGGAGCUCAACUCCAGAACUGCCUUCGAUACUGGAAGACUUGAGUCCGGGAGAGGUGAGUGGAACUGCGAGUGUAGAGGUGAAAUUCGUAGAUAUUCGCAAGAACACCAGUGGCGAAGGCGGCUCACUGGCCCGGUACUGACGCUGAGGUGCGAAAGCGUGGGGAGCAACAGGGAUUAAGAA
rnacentral:rRNA from 1 species